rnacentral:rRNA from 1 species
AACGAACGCUGGCGGCGCGCUUAACACAUGCAAGUCGAACGAGAAGGCGUAGCAAUACGCUUGUACAGUGGCGAACGGGUGAGGAAUACAUGGGUAACCUACCCUCGAGUGGGGGAUAACCCGCCGAAAGGCGGGCUAAUACCGCGUACGCUUCCGAUCUUGCGGGAUCGGAAGGAAAGCUGUCCCUUGGGGAUGGCGCUCAAGGAUGGGCUCAUGUCCUAUCAGCUUGUUGGAGGGUAACGGCCUACCAAGGCAUCGACGGGUAGCUGGUCUGAGAGGACGAUCAGCCACACUGGCACUGCGACACGGGCCAGACUCCUACGGAGGCAGCAGUGAGGAAUAUGCGCAAUGGGCGAAAGCCUGACGCAGCGACGCCGCGUGGGGGAUGAAGGUCUUCGGAUUGUAAACCCCUUUCGGGAGGGAAGACGGCCUUAGACAACUAAGGCGGACGGUACCUCCAGAAGCAGCCACGGCUAACUUCGUGCCAGCAGCCGCAGUAAC